CGUUGAAACACCGCUUCCAGUAAGAUCCCCGUGGUGAAGCAACGCCAAGCCUGUUCAGUACCAAGAUGGGUGAGCGCUUGGGAAUAUCAGGCGC